rnacentral:lncRNA from 1 species
CUCUUUGUGCGGUAAACUCGUGGCUGGUGAGGAUGACCGUCGCGGAGUUCGCCUGGCUUUUGCUGCGAAACCGUCCCCAAAGGCGGGGGAGGGUGCCGCCCGGCACAUUUGCUUAGCUGCGCACAUGCAGGUACCUCGGGGCCCUGUUCGGUGAAGGGAUCACAGUCUAGGGCUGAGCAGGAUGAACUCCCAUUACAGACUAGAGUUUCUGAUGUCGCUCUGACGCUACUGCUCGGAACUGACCCAGCCCGGGUCAGGGGGGGCUCGUCUAAAGUCGCCGAGUCUUUGCUGACUCACUUGUUUCUUCCCAGGCCCCUGGUGCUCGAAGGAAGAUCCGCAGCGCGACGAGGGAGCGUAAGAUGUCCACAUCUUAAAUGGCCGCACUCGCUGCGUAAGUCCAGGGCCAAGGAUCGAAGCCCAGCCGCAGAAGCACGGAAUCCUUUAACCUGCAUCAGGCUGGGGAUAGAACCCGCACCUCCGCAGCGACCCCAGCAGCUGCAGUCGUAUUUUUAACACAGUGCGCAAGAGCGGGAACUCCUUAUUUUUGAAUAAGGCCCGAGAGCUCCUUAUCUUUGAAGCCCAGCCAGGGGCUGUCCCUUUCAGAGAUCUGGGCUAGACUGGAAAGAUUCUGGAAGGCCUAAGGUUUGGAAUUCUCUUGAAGAGCUGACAGGAUGGCUGUGGUGCCCAUAUAGUGGUUCCUGCCACUUGAACAGGCUGUGAGAAGUGGAGAAGAUGCCUUCAGCUUGGGUUCUGUGAACUUUGCAGACACAAAAGGAUGUCCUCUCUGGUGUUGGACAGAUCUUGGGAGCUUCACAUCUUUCCUGCAUUAACACAUGGGAGCAGCUAUCAACUCUUCCGAGCCAGGCGAACUGCCUAGAAAUUUGGGGACCCUUAAAUAUCAAUUAGGUGGUCUUCACUUCUUUACUUGGUUUUAGCAAAAGGAUUCCAAUAAAAUAUUUAAAAGUAAAUGAAAAAUAGAUUGGUCUUAGGCCAUAGCAACCACCAGAGCCACUGCAGUGACAACACCAGAUCCUUGACCUGCUGCGCCUCAAGGGAAAUCCUGAUAGUUGAGGUUUUUAUGAGACUGUUACAACAGUUAUCCAUUUGGCUUUUGAUGAGUUUGGUGAAAACAUAGAUUGUUCAGAUAUAUUUUGAAAGAAUUCUAUUCCUGGUGGUUGCCAGGGGCUGAGGAGGAGAAAAUGAGCAGUUAUUAAUGGGUUUAGAGUUUCAGUUGCCCAGCAUGAAAAGAAUGCAUGGGGGUGAAAGGUGGUAGUUCCACAAUGUUAUGAAUGUAUCAUCAGUGAAUUGUUUGCUUAAAGUGGUAAAAAUGGUAAGUUUUAUGUUUAUUUCACCCCAAUAAAAAAAUGGGGAAAAUCUCUGUGUUCCUUUUUGUCACUAUCACAAAGGGGGUUCUAAAAUUGGAAUUUCACAGUUCAAGGAAUUGGACAUUGAAGGUGACUUGUGUCAUUUGCUCUAUAAAUUGGUCCCAGC